CAGAGAACUUCUCUAUACCAUAGAUUCGNUGCCUUCGCGGAACUCUGACACACCGUGCUGCUNUAGGCUGUACUGUCAGACUCGGUGUCGUGAGAUGUUGGGUUAAAGUCCCCCGGUUAACGAGCGCNACCCUUGUCNUUAGUUACCAGCACGUAAUGGUGGGCACUCUAAGGAGAUCUGCCGGUGAACAAACCGGAGGAAGGUGGGGAUAGAC
rnacentral:rRNA from 1 species